rnacentral:lncRNA from 1 species
CACUAAUCUAGUUCUAUUUUUCUCUCUAAGAUGAGAGGCAAUGGUGGCACAGUGGGGGAUCGAGAUCCCGUAGGAUUUAACUCAAAGAGAGAUAAACUAACUCAAAGAUAAAUAAAAGAGAGAUAAAGUAGUAGAGAAGAUGAAAGAGAUUAAAAAAGAGAGAUGGCUAAAAUGAGAGAGUGAAAAGAACAAAGAGGCAGUGGAGGAGGAAAAGAAUACAAGAGAAAAGUGCUUGGGCACCCUUUUUAUUUUUUUCUUAACAAACAGAGAAAGAGGAAGUAUGUGAGAUAAAAAAGAAAUAGAUGAACAAAAUCAAGUGAAAUAGUGAGAGAGAGAGAGAAGUAUGAAAAAAAUGAUAGAGAGAUAAAGCAGUGGGGGCGCUUGUAUAAGAAAUAGGAUACUACUAUUGAGUUUUUAUUAUUAACAGAGCAUGACCCCUCUUUUACUAUGCUUAUUCACCUAAAU